rnacentral:tRNA from 1 species
GGUACUAUAGUGUAGUGGUUAUCACUCGGGAUUUUGAUUACGUCAGCUUUCCCGUAACCCAGGUUCGAACCCUGGUAGUACCU